rnacentral:rRNA from 1 species
GACGAACGCUGGCGGCGUGCUUAACACAUGCAAGUCGAACGGAAAGGCCCUGCUUUUGUGGGUGGCCGGGGGGCGAACGGGGGAGGAACACGUGAGUAAACCUGCCCUGACUUUGGGGUAACUUUAGGAAACCGGGGCUAAUACCGGGAAGGAGGCUCUGCCGCAUGGUGGGGGGUGGGAAGGUUUGGCGGUUGGGGGUGGACUCGCGGCUUAUCAGCUUGUUGGUGGGGUAGUGGCUUACCAAGGCUUUGACGGGUAGCCGGCCUGAGAGGGUGACCGGCCACAUUGGGACUGAGAUACGGCCCAGACUCCUACGGGAGGCAGCAGUGGGGAAUAUUGCACAAUGGGCGGAAGCCUGAUGCAGCAACGCCGCGUGCGGGAUGACGGCCUUCGGGUUGUAAACCGCUUUCGCCUGUGACGAAGCGUGAGUGACGGUAAUGGGUAAAGAAGCACCGGCUAACUACGUG